AUUAGAUACCCCCGUAGUCCCAGCCGUAAACUAUGCUCGCUAGGUGUCAGGCAUGGCGCGACCGUGUCUGGUGCCGCAGGGAAGCCGUGAAGCGAGCCACCUGGGAAGUACGGCCGCAAGGCUGAAACUUAAAGGAAUUGGCGGGGAGCACCACAACGGGUGGAGCCUGCGGUUUAAUUGGACUCAACGCCGGGAAGCUCACCGGAUAAGACAGCGGAAUGAUUGCCGGGCUGAAGACUCUGCAUGACUAGCUG
rnacentral:rRNA from 1 species